GGGUCUGUGUCUCGUCGCCGCUGCGCACGGGGCGCGUCCGUCCGCUGUGUGCCCGCGGUUCGCCACCACCGUACGCUCUCCUUCUCUCUCUCUCUUUCGCGCACUCUCCGCUCUCGGAGCACCGACGCUUUUCGAGGUUAGGCGGCGCACGGGCACUGAUCUCCGGCUAGUAGCGAACGGUCGCGAUCGCCGUCGUCGCGUGUACUUGGCGCCGUUGGUGUUGGUGUCGCGCGUCGUUCGCGCGUUGUACGUCGGCGGGCUCCAUGUUGCCGCCGGUGGUAUGACGUCAUCGAGUGUCGGUGGUGCCGCGCGUGUGUACCCGUCGUCGCCGUCGCCGUCCUCGCGCUCACCCGCCGUUGUCGCGCGCCGCCUGCAGCCCCGCCGCACGUCAUGCUGCUCUCGUGAUAAAGUUUAACGUUCCUCUCCCCCGUCUUUCCUUCUCGCUCGCGCGUUUCCGCCGCGUGUCUCUCUCUCUCUGUCUUUCUUAUCUCGCGUAACGCGGAGUGUGCAGCCGCCGCAGUCGCCGUCGCCGUCGUCGCCGCCGCCGCCGCCGCUGCCGAAAUCGCAUCGGCGGCCGCCACGGCGUGUGUACAUACGUGUGUAUGUGACCUCGCCGCUUCUCCCGCACGUCCUCCCUCGCUCUCGCGCUCUCUCUCUCUCUCUCUCUCUCUCUCUCUCUCUCUCUCGCUCGCUCGCUCGCUCUCCGUAAUCACCGUCGCUUUCCGCCGCCGCUGUCUCCGUUUUCCACGGACGGACGGACGGGACGCCCGCAUCGGGAGCCGCACCAGUCACCCGCGGUACGUCCGCACGGCUCUGCGAACCAGGAAUCAACGGCGAGAAACAUGGGAUCCUACGUGGCGUUCUGAUUCGUUGCCUGGCGAACGAUCACCUUUUGGAUUUUCUUUUCGCCACUCGCUUCUUCUCCUUUCGUGAGAAGACGACCCAGACGUACCGGCUUAGCGGGUCGCUGGUUUAAACGCUGAUUUAGAUUCCCGGGAAAAUCGGAAGAGGACACAUGUCUGAAGAGAAUUUCACGCUCGGUAAACGUGGCAUAAAUCGAGAGCUCGACUGAGAGGCCCGGGCUUCGCCCAGGCUCCGUGUAACUCGGUAAGCUUCUUAUUGUCGACAUCCGACGAUUUGAUCCGACGCUCGGGUCUGGUUUUGGUCUGGUCUGGUCUGGUCUGGUCUGGCCUGCGGUUUGAACAGCCCAAAAUGCAUGACGAUACUUACGACACUUUCAUAUCUAGUAUCGAUAUUUUUCAUUUGGCAGGAGUGUCCAAGUACCGCCGCGAAACAUUAAGAACCAAAAAAGAAAGAAAUUUUUCGUAUUGCGAAGACAGGGAAAGCUGUGUGAAAAAUUUUAAGAGGAAUUUAUAUAUUUUUAUAUUAUUUUGAAUUUAUUUUUGUUUUUACGUACUCUCGUCUCGAUUUACUUUGACUUGAGUUUACUGUAUAUUAAAAGAAAAUUAUAUCCUUCAGUUUUCUAAUAGCUAAAUAAAUUACGCCACGUCGAUUGCGCCAUUUUUAAUUUAAAUUGCAGAAAAAUAUUGUAUUUUUUGUAAAUAAGAAAAGAUAUUAGAAAAUUGCAAUGACUAUAUGUAACUGUAGCGUUUUAUGACAGUAGUGUAUUAAAUUUCCUACACUAUCUUCUCGAAAGCUACGCUUUUCGCAAAACUCCUUCGGCAUUUAUCCCGGUAGAUACAGUUAUGCCUGAAGGGUUUCACGUCAGGUAUCAUCCAUAAUCGCGAUGUACAGGAUCGCUUUUGCCGGGUGUCUAUGGUGUCUACCGUUCAGUUUCGGUGGUGCGCGUCUUUGCCGAGCGAGAAACUCGCUUAUCGUAGUCUAGACUGGUCAAAUUGGUAGGCCCCCAAGGACCGCCAAGAGGGAGAAUACCGAGGCGUAGCCAUCCGACAAACUGGUAGGGGGGGGAGGAGGACCCUGCGUAAGGAAUCCGUCGUGGCAUCCACCGCAUCUCAUGGUUUACGCGUGUCGACGAGAGGGAUCGUUAGCCGCGGUAUGCCAGACAAUAAUAAACAGUAAGCUUGCCACCGCCGCCGUCAUGGUUGAACAUUAGAAUCGAUGUAAUUGACUGGUGGCUCGUGUAAUCGUAAUUGUCGCUCUUUGCACCGAAAAACGAGCGAGACUCGCAAUUGGCCGAGCGAAAUAACAAAAUUCUACUGUAUCGUAUUCAAGCUAAUUGGAGAGAUUGGGAUAACGACGAGGGUGUGCGUUCGUGUGUGUGUGUGUGUGUAUAUAUAUAUAUAUAUGUGUAUAUAUGUGUGUGUUAACUGACUUUUGCAGUUCGAGACCGUUUUUAUAAAUGAGCGUCGACGUUGCCUUCUGUUUUUAUUUUAAUCCAGUUAAUAUUGUUCAACGAGUUAAACGAUUCUUUUUCACGUAUAACAAUGAAAGGGGGACAAUGGAAAUCAAUUUAG